UGAACGCUGGCGGCGUGCCUACUACAUGCACGUCGAGCGAACAGACGAGGAGCUUGCUCCUCUGACGUUAGCGGCGGACGGGUGAGUAACACGUGGAUAACCUACCUAUAAGACUGGGAUAACUUCGGGAAACCGGAGCUAAUACCGGAUAAUAUAUUGAACCGCAUGGUUCAAUAGUGAAAGGCGGUUUUGCUGUCACUUAUAGAUGGAUCCGCGCCGCAUUAGCUAGUUGGUAAGGUAACGGCUUACCAAGGCAACGAUGCGUAGCCGACCUGAGAGGGUGAUCGGCCACACUGGAACUGAGACACGGUCCAGACUCCUACGGGAGGCAGCAGUAGGGAAUCUUCCGCAAUGGGCGAAAGCCUGACGGAGCAACGCCGCGUGAGUGAUGAAGGUCUUCGGAUCGUAAAACUCUGUUAUUAGGGAAGAACAAAUGUGUAAGUAACUAUGCACGUCUUGACGGUACCUAAUCAGAAAGCCACGGCUAACUACGUG
rnacentral:rRNA from 1 species